GCCCGGAUGGCGAAAUUGGUAGACGCAAGGGACUUAAAAUCCCUCGUUCUUUGAGCGUGCCGGUUCGACCCCGGCUCCGGGCACCA
rnacentral:tRNA from 1 species